AAAACAACCAGGAGGUUGGCUUAGAAGCAGCCAUCCUUUAAAGAUAGCGUAACAGCUCACUGGUCUAAAUAAGUUGUCCUGCGGCGAAGAUGUAACGGGGCUCAAGCCAUGAGCCGAAGUCUAGGAUGCACGUAGUGCAUGGUAGCAGAGCGUAGUGUGACAUAAUUCCAUGCGUCCUUAGUUCCUUCGGGAACAUUGGACGCAAGGAAUUUUCUGUGAAGCCGGCGUGUGAGCGAUCCGGUGGAGAGAUCACUAGUGAGAAUGAUGACAUGAGUAGCGACAAAGGGAGUGAGAGACUCCCUCGCCGAAAGUCCAAGGGUUCCUGCUUAAAGCUAAUCUGAGCAGGGUAAGCCGACCCCUAAGGCGAGGCCGAAAGGCGUAGUCGAUGGGAACCAGGUUAAUAUUCCUGGGCCAGGAGGAUGUGACGGAUCUCGAAGAUUGUUUCCCCUUAUUGGAUUGGGGAGGCCGUUGAGAGGUUCCUGGAAAUAGCCCUCCAUGAGAUCGUACCCUAAACCGACACAGGUGGACUGGUAGAGAAUACCAAGGCGCUUGAGAGAACCACAUUUAAGGAACUCGGCAAAAUACCUCCGUAAGUUCGCGAGAAGGAGGCCCGUUCAUUAGGCAACUAGUGGGCGGGGGCACAAACCAGGGGGUGGCGACUGUUUACUAAAAACACAGGGCUCUGCGAAGUCGCAAGACGACGUAUAGGGUCUGACGCCUGCCCGGUGCCUGAAGGUUAAAAGGAGGAGUGCAAGCUCCGAAUUGAAGCCCAGGUAAACGGCGGCCGUAACUAUAACGGUCCUAAGGUAGCGAAAUUCCUUGUCGGGUAAGUUCCGACCUGCACGAAUGGCGUAACGACUUCCCCGCUGUCUCAAAUGUGGACUCAGCGAAAUUGAAUUUCCUGUCAAGAUGCAGGAUACCCGCGGUUAGACGGAAAGACCCCAUGCACCUUUACUAUAGCUUCGCAUUGGCAUCAGGCACAGUAUGUGCAGGAUAGGUGGUAGGCUUUGAAACCGGGACGCCAGUCUCGGUGGAGCCUCCCUUGAGAUACCACCCUUAUUCUGCUUGAUGUCUAACCGCGGCCCGUUAUCCGGGUCCGGGACCCUGCGUGGUGGGUAGUUUGACUGGGGCGGUCGCCUCCCAAAUUGUAACGGAGGCGCGCGAAGGUUGGCUCAGAGCGGUCGGAAAUCGCUCGUUGAGUGCAAUGGCAGAAGCCAGCCUGACUGCGAGACUGACAAGUCGAGCAGAGUCGAAAGACGGCCAUAG
rnacentral:rRNA from 1 species